ACCUGCUAUGUGAGAACUGAGCCCAUCCCCACAUGCUGGUGAGGCUCCAGAAGGCCUGCAGGGCAACACCACUCACUCAUUGGCUUCCUGAAGCUGGGAGGACUUGGCUGGUGCCUGGACAAACUUCACUUCCCCUUGGAUGGUGGCAUUCUUGAGCCCUGUCUUGCUAAAAUCUAGUGCCUGAGAGGAGCGCUGAGGUCUUCAACUACGAUGGCAGAUCCCACUGUUUCUCCUUGGAAGUUACAUCAGAGCCUGUGUAUCCCAGCAAGCAGCCAUCAAUAUAGCUACAUCCCCAGCCCAAGGGUGACGUUUUCUGUCCACUUAGGCAAUCUCUGCUGUUUAGAAGUGACUUGGUGUGUGUGUGUGUGUGUGUGUGUGUGUGUGUGUGUGUGUGUGUGGUGUGGGGAGAGGUGCUGGAGACUGAACUCAGGACAAUGAUCUUAUGCAUGCUGACCACUUGCUUUAGAGCUACGUGACAUCUGCCUUCUGUGUUUAAAUGGAUUGUUCUGUUAUUUCCUUUCCACGUGUCCUCUGCUUUUUUUUAUGCCCCCUUUAGAUUAUGUAUUUGUAUGAUUCCACCAGACUUUCAAAGCUAUGACUCUGUCUUGUUAUUUUAAUUGCUUUAAGGCUUAGACUAUGCAACUUUAACUUAUCACAAGUCUACCUUCAAAUGGUAAUAGGAUAACAGACCAACACACCAGUUAGAGAGAACCCUCAACAGUGUGACAUCGUUUCCUCCUCAUGACUGGGUGUUUGAAAUGGAACUUAGAGAUGAGAAAGGGCUGGGAUACUACUCAGAGGUACAGCAUCUGCUGAGCACUUGGGAGACUCCAUAUUUAACAGAGAGAGAGAGACAGAGAGAUAGACAGAGAGAGAGAGACAGACAGACAGAGAGAAUGAAAGCAUAUGAAUGUGAAUUUGUAAUGAUUAAACUAAGCCAGUGAACAGCACCCCAGAGAGUUCUCUGUGCUUCCGGAGUGUGGAAAGCAGAAGACUAGGACAGCUAUCUGAGGAGGAAGAGGAAAGAUCACACAAGAUCUGUUUACGAGACCUGGAAGGAGGCCUGGAGAGAACAAAGAAGCUGGAGAAGGAAAAAGUAACACUUCCCUUACAUGAAGGCUCUCACCGGCUUGCAAAGUUCUCUGAUUACUGAGCAGACCCGGCUGUCGCCAUUGUUUACAUCAGGUCUUUGGCAGGAAUGGGCUGGCAAGAGGGGAUAAGCGGACCAUACCAUUGAAGUAGCUCGGGGUGUCUGUGGGCCGCCCCCGGGCCAGCACCAUGUUGCAGCUGGAACUUCUUGCCUCUGCCUGGCUGCUCCAGGAGUGCACGCCGGAACUCAGGGUGUCGCGCGAGCUCUGAGAGGCCUUGGAUGGGUGCUGAACACAAGAGCAGGGAGAGGCUGUCGAUGCUGAGGCAAGAGAGAAUCUGUUCCUGUUCCUCCAGAGAAAAGGGCUGUGACAGGCUGUUGAGAAACAGUUCUGCAGGGGAGGAAGAGGAAGAUGGCCGUGAAGGGCUGGAAAAGUUGACGUUGCU